CCAUUGUGGGAGCUACUGUUUCUUUGUAUGACAUUAAAUGUUGUAGGCUACAGUACAGUUAGACUACUUUGUUGUAGUGUUCAGAUAAUGACUAGGUAGUUGCCGAGAGAAAAUGACAUUCUCAAGGCUGCAACGGAUGCGCCCCUAGACUAGAGCAAUCAAACAUCAAAACUGAAUUAAGUUAGGACAAAGAAACGUCUCAUGUAGCCUAAUCUUACUUCAGAAAGUUCCUGGAUAACAUUUUACGUGAUCUAUAAAAGUCGAGUAAUGUCAAGAAAACGUUCAACAACACCCCCUUUCACUAAGAAUCCUGUUGUCUGCUAUCGUCUACUUUAACCUGACAGCUAUUUGGAACACAUGCACAAAGAGAGAGUAUCUCAACAGGCCUAUUUCUCCUGAGGGGGUGUCUGGGAAUGACUGGUUCCGGUUAUUCGCUGCUGCUAUAAUGGCAGCUGCUGUACACUACCAGUACAGAUAGGACAACGAGCUAUUUAUACAAGUCUUUACAACGGGUGCAUCCGUUUAUUAAUAAGUAAUUCUACGGUCAAAAAUAAACGUUUGGAGGCCACUCUAAAGAUUAACCCUCUAUCCUGACACCUCUGGAGCAGUGCUGCAGGAAGGUGGCGCGGCGGUCCUUCGUGGGAUUUUGCAGUUCCGAGUUAAGUUGUUUUGAGAGCGACAACAAAUCAUGCUUAAUUGACAGCAUGGCCAAUGUUGAAUGUUUCUAAUCUUAGACUUGGGACCACACAGCCACUCCACUGAAU